AAUUCGCCCUUAGAGUUUGAUCCUGGCUCAGGAUGAACGCUGGCGGCGUGCCUAACACAUGCAAGUCGAACGGGGUUCUAUGUCGGAAGUUUUCGGAUGGAAGAGAUAGGACCCAGUGGCGGACGGGUGAGUAACACGUGGGUAACCUGCCUCAUAGAGGGGGAUAACAGAGAGAAAUCACUGCUAAUACCGCAUAAGCACACGGGAUCGCAUGAUCCAGGGUGAAAAGAUUUAUCGCUAUGAGAUGGACUCGCGUCUGAUUAGCUGGUUGGCGGGGUAAAGGCCCACCAAGGCGACGAUCAGUAGCCGAUCUGAGAGGAUGGCCGGCCACAUUGGGACUGAGACACGGCCCAGACUCCUACGGGAGGCAGCAGUGGGGGAUAUUGCACAAUGGGCGCAAGCCUGAUGCAGCGACACCGCGUGGGGGAUGACGGCCUUCGGGUUGUAAACUCCUUUCGCUAGGGACGAAGCUUUUUGUGACGGUACCUAGAUAAGAAGCACCGGCUAACUACGUGCCAGCAGCCGCGGUAAUACGUAGGGUGCGAGCGUUGUCCGGAAUUACUGGGCGUAAAGGGCUCGUAGGUGGUUUGUCGCGUCGUCUGUGAAAUUCCGGGGCUUAACUCCGGGCGUGCAGGCGAUACGGGCAUAACUUGAGUACUGUAGGGGUAACUGGAAUUCCUGGUGUAGCGGUGAAAUGCGCAGAUAUCAGGAGGAACACCGAUGGCGAAGGCAGGUUACUGGGCAGUUACUGACGCUGAGGAGCGAAAGCAUGGGUAGCGAACAGAAUUAGAUACCCUGGUAGUCCAUGCCGUAAAC
rnacentral:rRNA from 1 species